rnacentral:rRNA from 1 species
GACGAACGCUGGCGGCGUGCUUAACACAUGCCAGUCGAACGGAAAGGCCCUGCUUUUGUGGGGUGCUCGAGUGGCGAACGGGUGAGUAACACGUGAGUAACCUGCUCUUGACUUUGGGAUAACUUCAGGAAACUGGGGCUAAUACCGGAUAGGAGCUCCUGCUGCAUGGUGGGGGUUGGAAAGUUUCGGCGGUUGGGGAUGGACUCGCGGCUUAUCAGCUUGUUGGUGGGGUAGUGGCUUACCAAGGCUUUGACGGGUAGCCGGCCUGAGAGGGUGACCGGCCACAUUGGGACUGAGAUACGGCCCAGACUCCUACGGGAGGCAGCAGUGGGGAAUAUUGCACAAUGGGCGGAAGCCUGAUGCAGCAACGCCGCGUGCGGGAUGACGGCCUUCGGGUUGUAAACCGCUUUCGCCUGUGACGAAGCGUGAGUGACGGUAAUGGGUAAAGAAGCACCGGCUAACUACGUG